AUGAAGAAAGAUAUCCAAGUUGACUUACAAAAUUUGGAUUCUCGCAUUUGCUUAACAUCUGAUAUGUGCAUUUCAUCACAGAGCUUGGGCUACAUGUCCAUCACCGCCCACUAUAUCGAUGCAGAAUUCAUCUACAAGAAGAAGAUCAUAAGUUUCGCAGAGGUGAAGUAUCCUCACACGGGCUAUGCGAUAGAAGAGGAACUUGUUGGUUGCCUAACAGAAUGGGGCUUAAGGGGUAAGCUAUUCACUUUGACAAUAGAUAAUGCCAACAACAAUACCAAUGCAUGUUAA
rnacentral:rRNA from 1 species